UAUUGGUCAAUGGUCGGGAGACUGAACCAGCCAAGCCGCGUGAGGGAGGAAGGUACAGAGUAUCGUAAACCUCUUUUGUCAGGGAACAANGGCGGGGACGUGUCCCCGGAUGCGUGUACCUGAACAAAAAGCAUCGGCCAACUCCGUGCCAGCAGCCGCGGUAAUACGAAGGAUGCGAGCGUUAUCCGGAUUAAUUGGGUUUAAAGGGUGCGCAGGCGGACUGUUAAGUCAGCGGUCAAAGCCCGGGGCUCAACCCCGGCCCGCCGUUGAAACUGGCAGUCUCGAGUUGGAGAGAAGUAUGCGGAAUGCGCGGUGUAGCGGUGAAAUGCAUAGAUAUCGCGCAGAACUCCGAUUGCGAAGGCAGCAUGCCGGCUCCACACUGACGCUGAGGCACGAAAGCGUGGGUAUCG
rnacentral:rRNA from 1 species